CAAGGACAAAUGGAACGAAGUCCGAGGAGCCAGAGGCAGAUUGCUUUGUUUUUCUAACAGCAACCCAAAGCAAGAAACUUCAGAAAAGUGACUAAGAAUAGGCGUUCUAAGCUUUUCCAUAUACUUUCUUAAAAGGGAGAGACAAUGUCCCUUGAGUUUUAAUUCUCCUGCAUGGUUUUUCUGAAAACUAUCCUUCACGUGUGUAAACAGAGCAAGGUUGCAGUAGAAGGAGAGGAAGGGACAUUGGUGGCAAUACUGAUAGCAAUUUGCUUUGUCCCUUAAUCCACCCUCAGGAAAUAUCCAUUGGGUGUCCUUUACGGCCAGGUCAUUUGGGCGAGCUCCCGAGCAGUCCCCCUGCCCAUGGAGUCAUUUCAGGCAUAUCUUUCAUCCAAAUCUGAAGCAUUGUGUUUUGGAUCUUCUUCUGAAGAGGAAGAGCAGGAGGCUUGGAGCCCUGAGGCACAGCUGUGGAGGGGCGCAGGCUGCAGAGAGGUUUCACAGAUCACAGGCGGCAGAUGCAGAGCCUGAGCCCUCUCAGGUGAAGGUGAGCCCAUUGGCAUGUCAGUCCACCUCUGCGCCCCCAUCGGCACCUCCAGCUUGUAUUAAUGAAACAGCCCAG
rnacentral:lncRNA from 1 species